GGAUAACUCAGUUGGUUAGAGCAUGGUGCUGAUACAGAAAUGCCAAAGUUGUGCAGGUUCAAUCCCCAUUUGGGACA